rnacentral:tRNA from 1 species
CGGGGUAUGGCUCGGUGGUAGAGCACGUGAUUAGCAUGCACAAGGUCCUGGGUUCAAUCCCUGGUACCCCAA